AAUAGAUACCCUGGUAGUCCACGCCGUAAACGGUGGGCACUAGGUGUGGGCGACAUUCCACGUCGUCCGUGCCGCAGCUAACGCAUUAAGUGCCCCGCCUGGGGAGUACGGCCGCAAGGCUAAAACUCAAAGGAAUUGACGGGGGCCCGCACAAGCGGCGGAGCAUGUGGCUUAAUUCGACGCAACGCGAAGAACCUUACCAAGGCUUGACAUACACCGGAAACGUCCAGAGAUGGGCGCCCCCUUGUGGUCGGUGUACAGGUGGUGCAUGGCUGUCGUCAGCCCGUGUCGUGAGAUGUUGGGUUAAGUCCCGCAACGAGCGCAACCCUUGUCCCGUGUUGCCAGCAGGCCCUUGUGGUGCUGGGGACUCACGGGAGACCGCCGGGGUCAACUCGGAGGAAGGUGGGGACGACGUCAAGUCAUCAUGCCCCUUAUGUCUUGGGCUGCACACGUGCUACAAUGGCCGGUACAAUGAGCUGCGAUACCGCGAGGUGGAGCGAAUCUCAAAAAGCCGGUCUCAGUUCGGAUUGGGGUCUGCAACG
rnacentral:rRNA from 1 species